rnacentral:lncRNA from 1 species
CAAGCCAGUGUUUUGGAGCAGUUGUUUCCACAGUUGGGACUUGUUUGGCUUGCCCAGGAGGAUGGGAAUAGUAAAAUCAGCUUAGGGACUUGAUGCGGGGUAGGGUGGGGGAAAGCAUCAUAUACUAUAAUAAUAUUAGGAGGGAUAGUCCGACUAGAUUCUAACCGUACCCCUCACAAUGGUCCCCUUGAUGUGUGACCCUCCUGGUGUCUUUAAGCCUUUUCUUCAACCUGUAGUCUAAAUGCUUUUUCCAACGAUGAGGCUCGCUUCCCAAAACUUCUCAACCCCAUUGUUCGGUUAUUUUGGAAGACAUGACUCAAACAGAGCACCCCUCUUAACCACAGGCUAGCUGAUUGCCACUGUAACAUGAGGCUUCCUGGAGAAACCAUACUGGGAUGCAGGGUCAAGAGGAUGCUGAUGGGGAGCAAAGGAGGGAGGUCUUCUACCCUAGUGUCGUGCCAGAGAAUGGGGGGUCACUCGCCAAAAGGGACUCUUAAAUAUGAACUCAAAAGGCGGAGGGAACAUUUGGUCCGAGCUUAGAUUAAGAAACUAAAACUGAAUGCAUAGAGACUGGAAACGCUGUACAGUUGUUCUCAGUCAAAGUCAGGAUGGGGGAAGAGGUGUUUUGGUUUUAGUUUGUCUAUGUUUUUUUGUUUCAGAGCCGAUCUUAUUCCAUAGCACUGUAGAACUUGCUGUGUAGAAACACUUAUGCAGCUUGGAGGAUGGCAGAGAGGAAUUGAGGUGGCCUAGGAGAGAACUUCCCGAAGAGCUAAGGGGAUCCUGUCCACAUCUGGAGCGAAGAAACCCUCCUGGUGCAGACAGCAAAAGGCCUGUUUCAAGUGAGGGAUGGCUAGUUCAAGGACAGGAGGGUGACAUCACAAGGACCAAUCUGUAAGCCAGAAGACUCAGAAGACUAAAAAGGCAAAAUUAGGUGUGGAGUGGAAAGGGAGGGGGAAGCCCAGGAGUGUUUGCAAUUCUGGAUCUUAAGGCCAUUUAAAUUUUAAAGUUACUGGGGGCGGGAGACAGCGUGUAUGCCAUAACUGCAUGGGCAGAAGUCAGAAUAAACCUGGAAGGAGUUUAUUCGUUCCUCCUACCAUGUGGGUUCCGGACAUCCAACUCAGGAUGUGAAACUUGCGGGAUGAGCAAGCAACUCGCUGAGUCAUAUCUCUGGUCCUUAGGGCCAUUUUCUAACUCAACGAGCAACACAUACUUUUUUAUUCAUUCUACAAAUAGAAGUUAAACACCCCCUUCGGGGUAUAGGUAAUUCAGGACAAGCCUGGCUUGGCAGUCUUCUCGCUGGUUGGUGCCUAGUGUGUGUUCUAGGUGGGUCAGGGCUCAUCCAGGCUGACAGUCUCUCACCGUCCUUGUCCUCUCCCUUGUCUAGGUAGCAGGGGUUACCUGCUCAGAGCAGAGACAGAUGGGAAAUUUCUGUCAUCAUUAAGGUUUUAUUGACCAGCGCGGCUGAAAUUUCCCAGAGAGAGGAAUUCAUCUCGCUACCGACUGAGAGCAGACAUCCUGCUGGGAGUAGUUACAUAAAUUCUGUUGCUCAAAUUAAUUAGGAUUGUGAUUCAUUUGUUUAAUGAAGAAUCUGAUGGCGAGAGGCAAGGCAGCCUAGCCUUGCCGAGUUCAGCCAAUCCCGGGUGAUAGUGCGGCAGAUGGGGUGGGACCAGGCCUGGAGCUGGCUGCCGAUGGGCAGAGACAACCAACCAGAAUGCAGAGCUGAAGCCAGUGGGAGCCGCUGCUGUCCCCUCCAAAGCUGGUGGCUGGAGAGACGCAGAUUCCCAGCUUAAAGCUUUCCCAGCUUCGCCGCCGCCCAGAGGCUUCCGGCCUCCUGCUUCCUCUGUGCGGAACAACUGCGAACAGCUGAAACACACGCCUCAUUAGCACCGACCGUCCACCCAUUUCCUCAUGCCACCCCCAAACGCCAGACUUUAUGCUUCU